rnacentral:miRNA from 1 species
CAUUCAAUUUCUGCACGGUAGA